UGGGGAAUAUUGCACAAUGGGCGAAAGCCUGAUGCAGCAACGCCGCGUGAGUGAUGAAGGCCUUCGGGUUCUAAAGCUCUGUCUUCUGGGACGAUAAUGACGGUACCAGAGGAGGAAGCCACGGCUAACUACGUGCCAGCAGCCGCGGUAAUACGUAGGUGGCAAGCGUUGUCCGGAUUUACUGGGCGUAAAGGAUGCGUAGGCGGAUACUUAAGUCAGAUGUGAAAAUCCCGGGCUUAACUUGGGAACUGCAUUUGAAACUGGGUAUCUAGAGUGCGGGAGAGGAAAGUGGAAUUCCUAGUGCAGCGGUGAAAUGCGUAGAGAUUAGGAAGAACACCAGUGGCGAAGGCGACUUUCUGGACCGUAACUGACGCUGAGGCAUGAAAGCGUGGGGAGCAAACA
rnacentral:rRNA from 1 species